UACGAAGGGAGCUAGCGUUGUUCGGAAUCACUGGGCGUAAAGCGCACGUAGGCGGAUUUGUCAGUCAGGGGUGAAAUCCCGGGGCUCAACCUCGGAACUGCCUUUGAUACAGCAAGUCUUGAGUUCGAGGGAGGUGGGUGGAAUUCCUAGUGUAGAGGUGAAAUUCGUAGAUAUUAGGAAGAACACCGGUGGCGAAGGCGGCCCACUGGCUCGAUACUGACGCUGAGGUGCGAAAGCGUGGGGAGCAAACAGG
rnacentral:rRNA from 1 species